rnacentral:rRNA from 1 species
GAUUGUUUGAUCAUGGCUCAGGAUGAACGCUAGCGGCAGGCUUAAUACAUGCAAGUCGAGGGGCAGCACAGGGUAGCAAUACCUGGGUGGCGACCGGCAAACGGGUGCGGAACACGUACAGAACCUACCUUCGAGCGGGGGAUAGCCCAGAGAAAUUUGGAUUAAUACCCCAUAGUAUAUUUGGAUGGCAUCAUUUGAAUAUUAAAGAUUUAUCACUUGAAGAUGGCUGUGCGUAUGAUUAGGUAGUUGGCGGGGUAACGGCCCACCAAGCCUACGAUCGUUAACUGGUGUGAGAGCACGACCAGUCACACGGGCACUGAGACACGGGCCCGACUCCUACGGGAGGCAGCAGUAAGGAAUAUUGGUCAAUGGACGCAAGUCUGAACCAGCCAUGCCGCGUGGAGGAUGAAGGUCCUCUGGAUUGUAAACUUCUUUUAUCUGGGACGAAAAAAGGGAAUUCUUUCUCGUCUGACGGUACCAGAUGAAUAAGCACCGGCUAACUCCGUGCCAGCAGCCGCGGUAAUACGGAGGGUGCAAGCGUUAUCCGGAUUCACUGGGUUUAAAGGGUGCGUAGGCGGGUAUGUAAGUCCGUGGUGAAAUCUCCGAGCUUAACUCGGAAACUGCCAUGGGUACUGCGUAUCUUGAAUGUUGUGGAGGUGAGCGGAAUAUGUCAUGUAGCGGUGAAAUGCUUAGAUAUGACAUAGAACACCAAUUGCGAAGGCAGCUCACUACACAAAUAUUGACGCUGAGGCACGAAAGCGUGGGGAUCAAACAGGAUUAGAUACCCUGGUAGUCCACGCCCUAAACGAUGAUUACUCGACAUACGCGAUACACAGUGUGUGUCUGAGCGAAAGCAUAAGUAAUCCACCUG